UCUAGCAUGUGCGCGAGUCAUUGGGAUUUUAUCAUAUAAACCUAAAGGCGCAAUGAAAGUGAAGAUCGCGGUCGCCGUUAAAAGCGGCCCGAUCGAGGGAGGAUGACUCGCGAAAGGAAACGCUCGCGAGUUCGCACUCCCGGGGCGUCUCGCGCUCAUUGCGAGCGGAGGCGCACCCAGAGCGUACACGCUGGGACCCGAAAGAUGGUGAACUAUGCCUGGUCAGGACGAAGUCAGGGGAAACCCUGAUGGAGGUCCGUAGCGAUUCUGACGUGCAAAUCGAUCGUCGGAACUGGGUAUAGGGGCGAAAGACUAAUCGAACCAUC
rnacentral:rRNA from 1 species